CAGCAGCCGCGGGAAUACGAAGGGGGCUAGCGUUGUUCGGAAUUACUGGGCGUAAAGCGCACGUAGGCGGAUAUUUAAGUCAGGGGUGAAAUCCCAGAGCUCAACUCUGGAACUGCCUUUGAUACUGGGUAUCUUGAGUAUGGAAGAGGUGAGUGGAAUUCCGAGUGUAGAGGUGAAAUUCGUAGAUAUUCGGAGGAACACCAGUGGCGAAGGCGGCUCACUGGUCCAUUACUGACGCUGAGGUGCGAAAGCGUGGGGAGCAAACAGGAUUAGAUACCCCAGUAGUCCCUGUCUCUUAUAA
rnacentral:rRNA from 1 species